rnacentral:tRNA from 1 species
GGGGGUUUAGUUCAAUGGUAGAAUAAUGGUCUCCAAAACCACUGAUAUGGGUUCAAUUCCUAUAACCCCCGCCA